rnacentral:rRNA from 1 species
UAGAUGCGAGAGUAGAGCAUAUCAAUAAGCGGAGGAAAAGAAACUAACAAGGAUUCCCUUAGUAACGGCGAGUGAAGCGGGAAGAGCUCAAAUUUGAAAUCUUCAAGGUUCUACCUUGACGAAUUGUAGUUUAAAGAAGUGUUUUCUGUUAGAUGAGUAGCAAAAGUUCCUUGGAAUGGGACAGUCAUAGAGGGUGAGAAUCCCGUAUUUGGUUAUUCAUUCUAGCUUUGCUGAUACACUUUCAAAGAGUCGGAUUGUUUGGGAAUGCAGGUCCAAAAUGGGUGGUAAAUUUCAUCUAAAGCUAAAUAUUGGCGAGAGACCGAUAGCGAACAAGUACCGUGAGGGAAAGAUGAAAAGAACUUUGAAAAGAGAGUUAAACAGUACGUGAAAUUGUCAAAAGGGAAGCGUUUGACACCAGUGUUGUUUUUCCGAAAAUCAAUUACGAAUGGCUUGAUUUUGUGUUGUAUUGACCUUAUCAGCUUUCUUCACUUUUUUCGAGUCCUUUCUUAAUGCACUUUUCGGUUAACAAGUCAACAUCAAUUUCUUUUGUUGUAAAAGAGUAUUCGGAAGGUGGCUUUCUUUUCGGAGAAAGUGUUUAUAGCCCUAUACUUCUACAAUCGGAGAGAUUGAGGUCUGCAGCGUAGAUCCUUCGGGGUUAGAUACAUUUGUGCUAAGUUGUAGCUUUUCAUAGACAACUUGUUGACUAUGUUUAGUCAUGCGGCUUACUCGCUUAUGCUAUUUUACCUACGCUUAGGAUGUUGAGCGCAUGUCUCUCUCU